GCCAACGCCCAUGUCGCGCUGAGUGCACUCGUUCCGUCAAAUCACGAAAGUUAAGCAGCGCCGGGCACGGAUAGUACUUGGAUGAGUGAUCGCCUGGAAACUCCGUGUGGCGUUGGCG
rnacentral:rRNA from 13 species